CCUACGGGAGGCAGCAGUAAGGAAUAUUGGUCAAUGGACGCAAGUCUGAACCAGCCAUGCCGCGUGCAGGAUGAAGGCCCUCUGGGUUGUAAACUGCUUUUAUAGGGGACGAAAAAGGGACUUUCUAGUUCAACUGACGGUACCCUAGGAAUAAGCACCGGCUAACUCCGUGCCAGCAGCCGCGGUAAUACGGAGGGUGCAAGCGUUAUCCGGAUUUACUGGGUUUAAAGGGUGCGUAGGUGGGUCGGUAAGUCAGCGGUGAAAUCUUCAAGCUUAACUUGGAAACUGCCAUUGAUACUAUCGAUCUUGAAUCAUCUGGAGGUAAGCGGAAUAUGUCAUGUAGCGGUGAAAUGCUUAGAUAUGACAUAGAACACCAAUUGCGAAGGCAGCUUACUACGGAUGUAUUGACACUGAGGCACGAAAGCGUGGGGAUCAAACAGGAUUAGAUACCCUGGUAGUCCACGCCCUAAACGAUGGAUACUCGACAUACGUGAUAUACUAUGUGUGUCUGAGCGAAAGCAUUAAGUAUCCCACCUGGGAAGUACGAUCGCAAGAUUGAAACUCAAAGGAAAUUGACGGCGNGAGAGAGCGAGACGACGACGAGGGAGAGG
rnacentral:rRNA from 1 species